rnacentral:rRNA from 1 species
GAACCUACCUUUUACAGAGGAAUAGCCUUUAGAAAUGAAGAUUAAUGCCUCAUGGUAUUGUAGACUGGCAUCAGUUUAUAAUUAAAGAUUUAUCGGUAAAAGAUGGCUAUGCGUCCUAUUAGUUAGUUGGUAAGGUAACGGCUUACCAAGACAGCGAUAGGUAGGGGUCCUGAGAGGGAGAUCCCCCACACUGGUACUGAGACACGGACCAGACUCCUACGGGAGGCAGCAGUGAGGAAUAUUGGACAAUGGAGGAGACUCUGAUCCAGCCAUGCCGCGUGUAGGAAGAAUGCCCUAUGGGUUGUAAACUACUUUUAUACAGGAAGAAACACUGGUAUGUA